rnacentral:lncRNA from 1 species
GAUUUUUAGAUUUUUCUCUUUUUUUCCCCAGCAUGUCCUGAAGCCCAUCAUUUGCUGACCCUAAGGCCUCCAAUGCUGUCACCUGACUAGUUUUUCUUUGGUGGAAAAUGGGUGGGAGACUUGGACAAGGCUUUUGGCAAAUUACACACCAGCUUCCAUCUGUUUUCCAGCUGUUUCAACUGAGGCAAAAAUCCCUCCGUUUUCUUCAACCUCCCAUAUCCUAUGCCAAAUGACCUCGGAUGAAGUGACAUUGGCUUUGUAUUACCAUCUCUCUCACAUACCUACUCAUUUACCUCUUUCCACUCUG